CCACGCCACCGUAUAUCAGGGGCGAGCGGAGGAUCGUGUACUGCUGGUCCAGCUGCCGAACCUGCUCUAGCUCAGUGCCCUCGAACGAUGUUUUCAGAUCAGUUCCUACAAGAGGAGCCACAUUUUGUUAAGUGGCCUUCGACUUCAUUGUAUGGAUGGAUUUGUCUAUUCAACCAGGACCUUACUGAUAGAUAUUUGGACUGAAAGGAACCCACAAAUGGCACGAGGCAGAGGAAGCCAACAGGCCAACAGACUGAAGAUCUUCUUGUCCGAGGUCAGCUUUUAUUUGUUACUGACAGAGGCCCCAAAUCCUUCUUAGGUGUCCUUCUGGGAGAGGGUCUCCUGCCAUUCCCGUGGUGUUCAGGGAUGAGCAUGAAGAGAAAUACAAAUGAACCGAGAGCAGGACCACCAGGUUCAAGUCCCCGCUUUUUACUGCCUUGUCAUCUUGGCCAAGCCAUUCAGUCCUUCUAAGCCUCAGACAAUAUGACAAAUGAAGCUAAGUCUGCCAAUCUUCACCCACAGGGAUGUGGGGAGGCUCAAAUGAAAGCAACCGUGUGAUACUGUGGGAAGUUAACAACAACAACAAAAAAGCAAGUAUGUGAAAAUACUCUAAAAAUAAAAUAAUGUACAAAUGGA